ACUCCUACGGGAGGCAGCAGUAGGGAAUCUUCCACAAUGGGCGCAAGCCUGAUGGAGCAACACCGCGUGAGUGAAGAAGGGUUUCGGCUCGUAAAGCUCUGUUGUUAAAGAAGAACACGUAUGAGAGUAACUGUUCAUACGUUGACGGUAUUUAACCAGAAAGUCACGGCUAACUACGUGCCAGCAGCCGCGGUAAUACGUAGGUGGCAAGCGUUAUCCGGAUUUAUUGGGCGUAAAGAGAGUGCAGGCGGUUUUCUAAGUCUGAUGUGAAAGCCUUCGGCUUAACCGGAGAAGUGCAUCGGAAACUGGAUAACUUGAGUGCAGAAGAGGGUAGUGGAACUCCAUGUGUAGCGGUGGAAUGCGUAGAUAUAUGGAAGAACACCAGUGGCGAAGGCGGCUACCUGGUCUGCAACUGACGCUGGAGACUACG
rnacentral:rRNA from 1 species